AGCCUUAAUAUCCAUCUCCUUACUCCUAAGUUAGUCUAUGACAAUCUUAGGUGUUAAGGUGUCCCUAUCAUACUUAAUUGCAUUCUUAACCUCUCUACAUGAAUCAGACAUAGAAUUAAGCAAAAUAAUAGAAUUAUUCAUUUCAGAAAUCUUUUCAUCACAAUUAACAAUUGUCGUGAACUAAUUUGUUAAAAAUAUCUAAAUUGUCAUCAAAAUCAUUUGAAGAAUUCAUUUUAAAACUAAAAAACCUUUCAAGCAAGUACAAUUUAUUAGGAGUAGAUUUAAACAAAUAUAAGUCCUCCAACUUUUCUCAAAGUUCUUUGGUAGAAUCGGGAUUUCCAACUUUUCUCAAAAUAGUAUCAAAUAGGUGGAAAAUAAUUGAAGUGUAAGCAAGUUUAUCAUAUUUUUCUUGUUGUGCUUCUGUUAAGUUUAUAGGAAAUUUUCCAUUUAUGACUUUUGAACAUUUUGUUUGACCAAAAUACCAUUCAUCUUUUGUUGUCAAAUUAAAAAAUCUCUUUUCCCAUUAAAAAUUUCAACUUCAAAGUGUGAAGACAUUUUUAAUAAAAAAAUAGAACAUCCAAAUGCACAAAUAGGUCAUACAAAGUUAUCCUACGGCUGCGACCUACAAGUUCUAGAUUUCCAGGGUUUCGUAAAAUUUACGAUCUUAGAUCAAGGGAAUGUCGAACAAGUCAAGUCCAGGUGUUCUAACAAAAUAAUCUAAGCAACACGAAGGUAUGUAAACAAAAGUUUAAAUUUUCACGCAACAUAGUCUCACACAGUGACCAUAUGACAGUUAAAGCAAGAAAUCAGCUACGGACUUGCAAUAAAAAACUCAACACUUCAAAAUAUGGCAAAUAAUUCCUAAAUUUCUAGUAUAAGAAAUGUUACCCCUUCACGCUAACCACAAGUCUAUUGUCACCCCCACACGAUGACGCGCUAAUAUUGAAAUUUAAACAGAGAUAAUCCAAUAUACCAGAGCGAACCAAUCUGAGUUCAUAAAUUAUGAGACACGCGAAUUUAUCACUUUACGACCACCACUAUUCGUCCUGAAAUCUCUAGCAACUAUAGCAACCAACGAACCACGAUCGAAUCCCAAACGUCUGAAGAAUAAUUAUGUCUAGAUUGUAUUGCACAACCUGAAAUAGAAAACUAACAACACCAAAAUGUCAAAAAGAAUGAUAGGAACAAACUGCCUGAAGAGACCGUCGUUAGAAAACGUGCCACUCGCCCUCACGUGCAGCUAGUGUCUUUGCGCUUGGGCCUCAUGUGUCGUCGGACUGCCACACAUAUCGAUCAGCCUAAACCACCGCUACCACCACCUGCACAUCACAUCAGUGGUCUUCGUUUCACCAAACUCCUUAUGGAUUAGCCAGAAAACACGAAAAUAUGGGCUAUUUUUUGACAAUUUUCUGGAUAGUUUUUUUAUCUGAUUUCUGCCUUAUUUCAGUCGGUUUUCUGGACUUUUUUGGUAUGUUUCACGAGCCAAAACCACCACCUAAAGCUUUGAUACCAAAUGUCACGGAAGCUCAUUCCAAGAAUCUUCAAAUUGGUGUUUUCCAAGCUUAGUUCAAUGUACCUUUCUCUACCAAACAACCAAUAUAGUUCACCUCGAUCAAUAUUCAAUUUUACCCACAAAGGACAAAGUAUGGUGAUGAUUUUUAGUCACAAAAUCAAGGAGAAAAUACCACAAAGGUAGGCUAUGAAGAAACCACAAAUUACACAAGGGGCUGUUUUUCACACUCUUCAAGGGGCAGCCGAGAUUCACCUUUUCUCACACACAAAUCACAUGAGAAAAUAGCUAAGAUUGUAGUCUUAUAAAUAGUCUAGGGUUAGGCUUUUAAUUGGACCAAAAGUAAGGUAAACGAGCUAAGAUUCAAGUCAUCCAAGAGAAAAUACAAUUGGACUAGGUGGAGCUCAUGGACUUGAUUGUUGGACUUAUUUUAUUCAUCAACCUAUGCCUAUGAAAUACAUUUACCCACAUUAAUAUCAUAGCUUGAGAUUUAUUGGGUAUAAAAAACCCAACACUUUUAUAUUCAAGGGUUGUGAUUAUAUGGAAUGGUUCAAAUGGCCAGGAUUAUCACUGAUAUGAUCCUACAAUCCACAUUUUCUAUUAAAGAGGGUGUUUGAAAGCCAUUUUUAUCUAAAAAUGUAUUUUGGAAUAGUAAAUUGAUGGAAAAUGUGUGGUUGAAAAAUAAGGAAAAGUUUUUGAUUUACGUGUAAUAUUAUUUUAAUGAAG
rnacentral:lncRNA from 1 species